rnacentral:rRNA from 1 species
UACGUAGGGGGCAAGCGUUGUCCGGAAUCAUUGGGCGUAAAGAGCGCGUAGGCGGUCCGGUAAGUCCGCUCUGAAAGUCCGGGGGCUCAACCCCGGGAGGCGGGCGGAUACUGUCGGGCUAGAGUCCGGAAGAGGCGAGUGGAAUUCCUGGUGUAGCGGUGAAAUGCGCAGAUAUCAGGAGGAACACCGAUGGCGAAGGCAGGUCACUGGGCCGCAACUGACGCUGAGGAGCGAAAGCAUGGGGAGCGAACAGG